GACGAACGCUGGCGGCGUGCUUAACACAUGCAAGUCGAACGGAAAGGCCCUUCGGGAUACUCGAGUGGCGAACGGGUGAGUAACACGUGGGUGAUCUGCCCUGCACUUUGGGAUAAGCCUGGGAAACUGGGUCUAAUACCGAAUAGGACCACGCGCUUCAUGGUGUGUGGUGGAAAGCUUUUGCGGUGUGGGAUGGGCCCGCGGCCUAUCAGCUUGUUGGUGGGGUAAUGGCCUACCAAGGCGACGACGGGUAGCCGGCCUGAGAGGGUGACCGGCCACACUGGGACUGAGAUACGGCCCAGACUCCUACGGGAGGCAGCAGUGGGGAAUAUUGCACAAUGGGCGCAAGCCUGAUGCAGCGACGCCGCGUGAGGGAUGACGGCCUUCGGGUUGUAAACCUCUUUCAAUAGGGACGAAGCGUGAGUGACGGUACCUAUAGAAGAAGCACCGGCCAACUACGUGCCAGCAGCCGCGGUAAUACGUAGGGUGCGAGCGUUGUCCGGAAUUACUGGGCGUAAAGAGCUCGUAGGUGGUUUGUCGCGUUGUUCGUGAAAACUCACAGCUUAACUGUGGGCGUGCGGGCGAUACGGGCAGACUAGAGUACUGCAGGGGAGACUGGAAUUCCUGGUGUAGCGGUGGAAUGCGCAGAUAUCAGGAGGAACACCGGUGGCGAAGGCGGGUCUCUGGGCAGUAACUGACGCUGAGGAGCGAAAGCGUGGGGAGCGAACAGGAUUAGAUACCCUGGUAGUCCACGCCGUAAACGGUGGGUACUAGGUGUGGGUUCCUUCCUUGGGAUCCGUGCCGUAGCUAACGCAUUAAGUACCCCGCCUGGGGAGUACGGCCGCAAGGCUAAAACUCAAAGGAAUUGACGGGGGCCCGCACAAGCGGCGGAGCAUGUGGAUUAAUUCGAUGCAACGCGAAGAACCUUACCUGGGUUUGACAUGCACAGGACGCCGGCAGAGAUGUCGGUUCCCUUGUGGCCUGUGUGCAGGUGGUGCAUGGCUGUCGUCAGCUCGUGUCGUGAGAUGUUGGGUUAAGUCCCGCAACGAGCGCAACCCUUGUCCUAUGUUGCCAGCGGGUUAUGCCGGGGACUCGUAGGAGACUGCCGGGGUCAACUCGGAGGAAGGUGGGGAUGACGUCAAGUCAUCAUGCCCCUUAUGUCCAGGGCUUCACACAUGCUACAAUGGCCGGUACAAAGGGCUGCGAUGCCGUGAGGUGGAGCGAAUCCUUUCAAAGCCGGUCUCAGUUCGGAUCGGGGUCUGCAACUCGACCCCGUGAAGUCGGAGUCGCUAGUAAUCGCAGAUCAGCAACGCUGCGGUGAAUACGUUCCCGGGCCU
rnacentral:rRNA from 1 species